rnacentral:rRNA from 1 species
UCGAAGGUGGGGUAGAUGAUUGGGGUGAAGUCGUAACAAGGUAGCCGUAUCGGAAGGUGCGGCUGGAUCACCUCCUUUCUAAGGAA